rnacentral:lncRNA from 1 species
UUCAGCCCCUCCGUUUGGCACCGCCCAUUUUCUAGAAACGUUGAGUUUAUUGGGUAGCUCAUCCAGACCCCUCAACUAAACUAGUUUUCUAUUGGCUAAUUUCAGCAAACGCCUUCGGGAACCCAGCGCUAGAUGUUCAACUGGAAGGGCCGAGAAUAGCGAGCAGCUAGGCUGAUAUAGCCAUGGCGCCGCCUCCUGCCUCGGGGAGGAACUGAAUUCUGUCCAAGCAUACUUUAUUUUUAAGCUUGGUUGCUUUCUUAGUUCUUAAAACAAUGAUUGAGCGCCCACUAACUUCUGGGCAGUAUUUUGGUUGCUAAGGAGAGACCACCAAUCUAUCCCUGCCCUCAAGGAACUAAAGAGAAACUGAGAUAUGUUCAGCACCCAGAAGGAGAGGACUUUAAGGCAAGGAAUGACGAAGAGAGGGUCGUGUGAUAGACAAGCAGAAGGAAGGCAGGAGGAGGGCACCGAGGAGAGAAAGGACUAAGGACACAGUUUAAGGACAUCCAUGUUUGGAAACGCCACAAUGUGUCCCAUCACACUGUAAGGUUGUCUUAUUUAACAUGGAACUUACCACGGCAGCUGGAUUGGAUGGCUAGCAUACUCUAGGGAUCCUACUGGGUCUGCUCCCUCAGCACUGAAGUAACAGAAUCCUUUGUCCAGCUCUGUAGUGUGCUAAGAGUGUGGAACCUUCCCUCCAAUGCAGAAGUGGGGAGCUAUUUUUUGACAGUUGUGCCAGUCUGCUCAAUUGAUGUCAGUGGAGCAUGGGUUGUCCUGAUGUCCUUCGUAUUCUGAUGUUAAUUCUGCUCCCUCAAAAGAGCUUGCCCCCAGUUCCCCGAAAGGAGCAGUCUAUCACAUCCAUCACUGUUCAUCCAUCAUCAUGGCUCGGCUCUCACAUACUCAGCAAUAAGCCAUCGAAAUCUUUUUUCCCAACUUCUCUUUCUCCCCAAGAGGGCCACUUAGAGGAGCGUGAAGACAAGCGAAGACAUGUAUGUAUGUGCACCAUGUGUACUCUGGUGUUGGCUAAGGUGUUAGAAGAAGACAUCCCAUCCACCCGGAUCUGGAGUUCCUGACAGUGGUUAGACAUCAGGGUCUGCUCCAGAUUGCUCUAACACAAAGACUCAAAAGCUCUCGUGACUGGAAACCAGAGGCAGGGACUACACCUCAGUCUGACUGCAUCCUGUUGCAGAUCAGACCCAUCUCUUCCUUCUGGGAGGAGGCCUAUCUGAAGCCUGACCACAUAUGUUCUGGCAUCAAGUCAUCCUGGCUAGCUUUCCGCACCAACCCCUAUGUGUGGUAACUGUCUGUUCCUGCAUGAAGUGAAUGGAGGUAAUGGAGGUGCGUGAGGCUCCGUGAUGUGUGACCUAUGUUUGUCAUUAUUAGGAGAAAGCCCCAGGUCGCUGCCCCAAUGUCUAGUGCUUGUUUCAGGAUCCUUGGCAAGUCACAGAGGGAUCCCAUGCAGGUUAUGAUGAACAGAGGAUGCUGAGCUGUGCAACGUGAAGCAAACCAGUACAUGCGCGUUGUUAGCGAAGAAUCCUUCAUCACGUGUCCUUUCACAUGCUUGUUUUAGCAGAACAUCCUUCCUCCCG